AGUGAACGCUGGCGGUAGGCCUAACACAUGCAAGUCGAACGGCAGCACAGUAAGAGCUUGCUCUUACGGGUGGCGAGUGGCGGACGGGUGAGGAAUACAUCGGAAUCUACUUUUUCGUGGGGGAUAACGUAGGGAAACUUACGCUAAUACCGCAUACGACCUACGGGUGAAAGCAGUGGAUCUUCGGACCUUGCGCGAUUGAAUGAGCCGAUGUCGGAUUAGCUAGUUGGCGGGGUAAAGGCCCACCAAGGCGACGAUCCGUAGCUGGUCUGAGAGGAUGGGCAGCCGCACUGGAACUGAGACACGGUCCAGACUCCUACGGGAGGCAGCAGUGGGGAAUAUUGGACAAUGGGCGCAAGCCUGAUCCAGCCAUACCGCGUGGGUGAAGAAGGCCUUCGGGUUGUAAAGCCCUUUUGUUGGGAAAGAAAAGCAGCAGGUUAAUACCGCGCUGUUCUGACGGUACCCAAAGAAUAAGCACCGGCUAACUUCGUG
rnacentral:rRNA from 1 species